rnacentral:rRNA from 1 species
UACGGGGGGAGCAAGCGUUGUUCGGAAUCACUGGGCGUAAAGGGAGUCUAGGCGGUUUGGUAAGUGGGAUGUGAAAUGCCCGGGCUCACCCCGGGACCUGCAUCCCAAACUGCUGAGCUUGAGUACAGGAGAGGGUGGGGGAAUUCCAGGUGUAGCGGUGAAAUGCGUAGAUAUCUGGAGGAACACCGGUGGCGAAGGCGCCCACCUGGCCUGCUACUGACGCUGAAGCUCGAAGGCUAGGGGAGCAAACGGG